rnacentral:lncRNA from 1 species
GACCUUGGAAGUCCUCGGUUUGCGUGAACGAGCCAUGUUAUCGUCCGAUUUACAUAAAAUGUUGGGAUUUUAUGUAAAUAUAGGGGCUUUUGUGCAAUUGUGCACCUUGUGGCUACUGUGGGCAGUGUGUAUGAGUGUGUUUGACCUCUGGACUGAUUGUCCAUGAUCCUGUAGCUUUCGCGGAAAUCGAAAAGUCGAUUCCGGCGCGUUUUUCGACGAAAUUCGCCGAAAGAACGCGGUUUCGGUUCGGAUUUCUUCCGACGUUGUUGGGUUGCUCUGUGAGUAGUCGCUAAGCCUUGUUGGCUGGUCACCAUCAUCACAUUGUGGGUUCGGUGAUGAUGGGUGAGCGACGGUGGGUUCCGGUGUCGAAAUAGACACUUUCGGGAACCCGAAUUCGCACAAUUAUUCGGCGACAAUUGUGUAGGGGUGUUAUCUUGUGUUUACUACCAAAACAUCCAAAUUGGAGUGUUUUGGGGCAGCAGGUGACUCGUGACACGAGUCGGUGAGUUUCGGGACACUUAGUGGGUCCCGACGGCGUCCCGGUGUGGUUUUCGGGACUUCCGGCCAGUUACGGUAAUCGGUAUUGGGAAACCGAUCUCCGUGGGAUUUUUUGUGGGUUAUGCUUUUAGGGUUUCUUAGUUGUGGGUUAGACACUAACCCAGUGGACCCCCCUUAGGUCCGGUUGACGUUCUUUUGCAGUCAGGAGACAGACGCG